rnacentral:rRNA from 1 species
ACGACCGUACCGCAAACCGACACUGGUGCGCGAGAUGAGUAUUCUAAGGCGCUUGAGAGAACUCAGGAGAAGGAACUCGGCAAAUUGACACCGUAACUUCGGAAGAAGGUGUGCCUUUAGUAGGUGAAGUCCCUCGCGGAUGGAGCCCAAUGAGGUUGCAAAGAAUCGGUGGCUGCGACUGUUUAUUAAAAACACAGCACUCUGCAAACACGAAAGUGGACGUAUAGGGUGUGACGCCUGCCCGGUGCUGGAAGAUUAAAUGAUGGGGUGCAAGCUCUUGAUUGAAGUCCCAGUAAACGGCGGCCGUAACUAUAACGGUCCUAAGGUAGCGAAAUUCCUUGUCGGGUAAGUUCCGACCUGCACGAAUGGCGUAACGAUGGCCACACUGUCUCCUCCUGAGACUCAGCGAAGUUGAAAUGUUUGUGAUGAUGCAAUCUCCCCGCGGAAAGACGGAAAGACCCCAUGAACCUUUACUGUAGCUUUGUAUUGGACUUUGAACAGAUCUGUGUAGGAUAGGUGGGAGGCUUUGAAGCAGGGUCGCUAGAUCUUGUGGAGCCAACGUUGAAAUACCACCCUGGUGUGUUUGAGGUUCUAACCUAGGCCCGUAAUCCGGGUUGGGGACAGUGCAUGGUAGGCAGUUUGACUGGGGCGGUCUCCUCCCAAAGUGUAACGGAGGAGUUCGAAGGUACGCUAGUUACGGUCGGACAUCGUGACGAUAGUGCAAUGGCAUAAGCGUGCUUAACUGCGAGACUGACAAGUCGAGCAGAUGCGAAAGCAGGACAUAGUGAUCCGGUGGUUCUGUAUGGAAGGGCCAUCGCUCAACGGAUAAAAGGUACUCUGGGGAUAACAGGCUGAUACCGCCCAAGAGUUCAUAUCGACGGCGGUGUUUGGCACCUCGAUGUCGGCUCAUCUCAUCCUGGGGCUGUAGCCGGUCCCAAGGGUAUGGCUGUUCGCCAUUUAAAGAGGUACGUGAGCUGGGUUUAAAACGUCGUGAGACAGUUUGGUCCCUAUCUUCCGUGGGCGCUGCAGAUUUGAGGAAGCCUGCUCCUAGUACGAGAGGACCGGAGUGGACGCACCUCUGGUGUAUCGGUUGUCACGCCAGUGGCAUUGCCGAGUAGCUAUGUGCGGAAGAGAUAACCGCUGAAAGCAUCUAAGCGGGAAACUCGUUUCAAGAUGAGAUCUGCCGGGGCCUUGAGCCCCCUGAAGAGUCGUUCAAGACCAGGACGUUGAUAGGUCGGGUGUGGAAGCGCAGUAAUGCGUUAAGCUAACCGAUACUAAUUGCUCGUGCGGCUUGACCCU